rnacentral:rRNA from 1 species
AGAGUUUGAUCAUGGCUCAGAACGUACGCUGGCGGCACGCCUAACACAUGCAAGUCGAACGAAGUAGCAAUACUUAGUGGCAGACGGGUGAGUAACAUGUAGGUAUCUGCCCUAUGGCCUGGAAUAACACGAGGAAACUUGUGCUAAUACCGGAUAAGUCUUUACGGAGAAAGCUUUAUGCACCAUUGGAUGAGCCUGCACUUGAUUAGUUUGUUGGUGGGGUAAUGGCCUACCAAGACUGUGAUCAAUAGCUGAUUUGAGAGGAUGAUCAGCCACAUUGGGACUGAGACACGGCCCAAACUCCUACGGGAGGCAGCAGUGGGGAAUCUUGCACAAUGGAGGAAACUCUGAUGCAGCGAUGCCGCGUGAGUGAAGAAGGCCUUUGGGUUGUAAAGCUCUUUCGUCGGGGAAGAAAAUGACUGUACCCGAAUAAGAAGGUCCGGCUAACUUCGUGCCAGCAGCCGCGGUAAUACGAAGGGACCUAGCGUAGUUCGGAAUUACUGGGCUUAAAGAGUUCGUAGGUGGUUAAAAAAGUUGGUGGUGAAAUCCCAGAGCUUAACUCUGGAACUGCCAUCAAAACUUUUUAGCUAGAGUAUGAUAGAGGAAAGCAGAAUUUCUAGUGUAGAGGUGAAAUUCGUAGAUAUUAGAAAGAAUACCAAUUGCGAAGGCAGCUUUCUGGAUCAUUACUGACACUGAGGAACGAAAGCAUGGGUAGCGAAGAGGAUUAGAUACCCUCGUAGUCCAUGCCGUAAACGAUGUGUGUUAGACGUUGGAAAUUUAUUUUCAGUGUCGCAGCGAAAGCGAUAAACACACCGCCUGGGGAGUACGACCGCAAGGUUAAAACUCAAAUGAAUUGACGGGGACCCGCACAAGUAGUGGAGCAUGUGGUUUAAUUCGAAGAUACGCGCAGAACCUUACCAACACUUGACAUGUUCGUCGCGACUUUAAGAGAUUAAAGUUUUCGGUUCGGCCGGACGAAACACAGGUGCUGCAUGGCUGUCGUCAGCUCGUGUCGUGAGAUGUUGGGUUAAGUCCCGCAACGAGCGCAACCCUCACUUUUAGUUGCCAUCAUUUAGUUGGGCACUCUGAAAGAACUGCCAGUGAUAAGCUGGAGGAAGGUGGGGAUGACGUCAAGUCCUCAUGGCCCUUACGUGUUGGGCUACACACGUGCUACAAUGGUAUCUACAACAGGAAGCAAGACGGCGACGUUAAGCAAAUCCUUAAAAGAUACCUCAGUUCGGAUUGCACUCUGCAACUCGAGUGCAUGAAGCUGGAAUUACUAGUAAUCGU